rnacentral:rRNA from 1 species
GUGAGGAAUUUUCCGCAAUGGGCGAAAGCCUGACGGAGCAAUGUCGCGUGAAGGAUGAAGGCCUAUGGGUUGUAAACUUCUUUUCUCAGAAAAGAAUUAUGACGGUAUCUGAGGAAUAAGCAUCGGCUAACUCUGUGCCAGCAGCCGCGGUAAGACAGAGGAUGCAAGCGUUAUCCGGAAUGAUUGGGCGUAAAGCGUCUGUAGGUUGUUUAAAAAGUAUUCUGUCAAAGAUUAGGGCUUAACCCUAGAUAGGCAGAAUAAACUUUUAAGCUAGAGUUUGGUAGAGGCAGAGGGAAUUCCCGGUGGAGCGGUGAAAUGCGUAGAUAUCGGGAAGAACACCAAAGGCGAAGGCACUCUGCUGGGCCAAUACUAACACUGAGAGACGAAAGCGAGGGGAGCAAAUGGGAUUAGAAACCCUAGUAGUCC